rnacentral:rRNA from 1 species
UACGAAGGGGGCUAGCGUUGUUCGGAUUUACUGGGCGUAAAGCGCACGUAGGCGGAUCGUUAAGUCGGGGGUGAAAUCCUGGAGCUCAACUCCAGAACUGCCUUCGAUACUGGCGAUCUAGAGUCCGGAAGAGGUGAGUGGAACUCCUAGUGUAGAGGUGGAAUUCGUAGAUAUUAGGAAGAACACCAGUGGCGAAGGCGGCUCACUGGACCGGCAUUGACGCUGAGGUGCGAAAGCGUGGGGAGCAAACAGG